rnacentral:rRNA from 1 species
UGCGUAGGCGGUUCGUUAUGUCUGCUGUGAAAUCCCCGGGCUCAACCUGGGAAUGGCAGUGGAAACUGGCGGGCUUGAGUGUGGCAGAGGGGGUGGAAUUCCGCGUGUAGCAGUGAAAUGCGUAGAGAUGCGGAGGAACACCGAUGGCGAAGGCAGCCCCCUGGGCUAACACUGACGCUGAGGCAAAGACUGGGGAGCAAACA